UACAGAGACUGCAAGCGUUUAUUCGGAUUCACUGGGCGUAAAGGGUGCGCAGGCGGCCGAGUGUGUGAGGCGUGAAAGCCCGGGGCUUAACCCCGGAAUUGCACCUCAAACUACACGGCUAGAGCAUUGGAGAGGGUAGCAGAAUUCACGGUGUAGCAGUGAAAUGCGUAGAUAUCGUGAGGAAUACCAGAGGCGAAGGCGGCUACCUGGACAAUUGCUGACGCUCAGGCACGAAAGCGUGGGGAGCAAAAGGG
rnacentral:rRNA from 1 species